GGCGGCGGCGGCGGCCAGUAUUCGUCAUCCUCUGAUCUCUUGCUUCGAUUCUCGAUUCUUGUGGUUCUCUCGAUUGAUUUGUCUCAGUUUCAGUCUUUUAGCUUCUCUUGAUCACCUUUCUUGUUCGAUAUCGAGAAGUUCGAAAUGUUUUGUAGAGCGAAUCGGAGUUUACGGUGGAACAAAAAGGAAAAUUCACAAAAUUUAAUUCCUGAGAUUUGAAAUGUAAAACCCAGAGAGAGAAGGUUCGAUUGAUGAGAAUAAAAUUGAGGGACGGAUCUUUUAAAUCAAACUUCCGAUGAGGUUGAUGUUGGUGUUUCAUCGAGGGAAUCUGAAACCUCUUGUGUUACCUCUAGCGGCCCUUCGAUUAAUUUGCCGGGGGAUUAGGAGAAUCUCUGGAAAUGAACGAGAUCUUACCGAGAGGCUUAGGGGUAUCUUCAGGGAUGAAGGUGAUGAAGAUCUGUUGCUGCAGAGUACUGAUCGAGGAAACGGCAUUCUUCACUGCUACAAGCCUUGGAUGUGUAGGUAAUGGGAGGUUGCCGUGCUGAUGAAAGGCUGAGGCGUCUGUGCCGAGCAAAGCCCGAUGGAUUUUCCAGGAUUAUUUUACGCGCAUGGGUUCUGGUCUACUUUCAGUUUCUAUUUUAGAGAAUGGUUAAAUUUGCACAAUCUCUAUUCCAUUACAUGGAAUAUUUCCUGGAUAUGAUAUAACUAAAUAUGGAGUUGCCAUAAAUGGAUCAAAAACUACUCUAUUUAAGUGGGGGAAGAAGAACGAAACCUCAUAAACAACACAAGAAGAACAACGCAGCAAGAGCGAGAACAAGAACAAGAACACAAUGGGCGGUUUUACUAGUAUCGUUCCUGUUUUGAUCAUUCUUGCUGUGAUGAUGGAGUACUCAUCUUCUUCAGUUUCUGGGUGCUUCACGACUACUCAUAAGCAUGUAAGAGUGAAGAACAUGUUGGCUCCAGGAAAGAGAUUGCAUCUGCAGUGUCAAUCAAAGGAAGAUGAUUUCGGAGAGAAGGCACUUUAUUACAAUGAGGAAUUCACAUGGGACUUCUGUGAUACUAUUUUUACUGACACUCUCUACAGUUGUGAUUUCUGGUAUAACAGGAAUGGUGUAUUUGUAGCUACUCAUGCAGACGUUUAUUUUGCAGCAAGAGAUUUUUGUAGAGACUGCAUGGCUAUUGUAAAAUUUGAUGGGGUUCAUGUUGUAGACAAAUUAAAACCUGAGGACGACAAAGUGGUUGCACAUUGGCCUAAGUAAGAGGGCAGAAUUUGGAUCCCCUGUUCCUACUUUCACCUCGACAUAAAUUUUUAAAGCUUUUAUUUCUAUAUUACUUUAAUUGUGUCAUAGGGUUUGUCUUGUUUGAUUUAGGUACCUCUCCUCUUUUCUCUUGCUCUGCACAAAGAAGGUUGUACAAGGUUGUACGGGAUGCCUUAAUCUGUCUUUUAAUAUUUUUCUUUUUCAUUAAUACAUAGAAGUUACAGAUCAAUAAUAAAAGAAGGUUGUAUGGGUUGCCUCAA